AUUGAACGCUGGCGGCAGGCUUAACACAUGCAAGUCGAGCGGGGGAAGGUAGCUUGCUACCGGACCUAGCGGCGGACGGGUGAGUAAUGCUUAGGAAUCUGCCUAUUAGUGGGGGACAACAUCUCGAAAGGGAUGCUAAUACCGCAUACGUCCUACGGGAGAAAGCAGGGGAUCUUGGGACCUUGCGCUAAAAGAUGAGCCUAGGUCGGAUUAGCUAGUUGGUGGGGUAAAGGCCUACCAAGGCGACGAUCUGUAGCGGGUCUGAGAGGAUGAUCCGCCACACUGGGACUGAGACACGGCCCAGACUCCUACGGGAGGCAGCAGUGGGGAAUAUUGGACAAUGGGGGGAACCCUGAUCCAUCCAUGCCGCGUGUGUGAAGAAGGCCUUAUGGUUGUAAAGCACUUUAAGCGAGGAGGAGGCUACUUUAGUUAAUACCUAGAGAUAGUGGACGUUACUCGCAGAAUAAGCACCGGCUAACUCUGUGCCAGCAGCCGCCGUAA
rnacentral:rRNA from 1 species